UGGGUUGUAGCUCAAUGGCAGAGCCCUUACCUUGCACGUGUGAUGCCCUGUGUUCCAUUCUCAGCACCACAU
rnacentral:tRNA from 1 species